GAACCUCAAAUUUUGCUUAGCAAGCUCUAGUGUAACAUGCUCGUCGGUGAAGAUAUUGAAGUAGGACCUGGAUUGUUUAUGGAAGAAAGCUCCCAAGGUAAAGUCGAUGCCGAAGUUCAUCUCGGAGCUGUAUCUGCUCAAAUAUCAAGUUUUGAAAAAUAUUCAAAAGGUGAGGCUCAAUUGGUCGGCAAAACUCUGAUUGAAAGACAGUUUCUUUUGGCGGCAGCUUGCGGUAACAUUAAUAGAAUAACCAAAUUUUUAGACAAAGAGCCUUAUAUUGUGCACACCACUGACCAGAUUUGGGGUGUACGUGUUUUAUUAUUGAUUCUUAUGUAACUAAGCUAACUUAGU